GAAACACACAUGUAUUUUUUUCAAAAAGGAGGCUUGACCCUCGGCAUCUGCACCAUUAGGAUGCACACAACCUAUAAACAUACAUGUGCUACAACAUUGCACAAACAAUCAAGGAAAAUAAAAAUACAGAGAAGCCCAUAGGGGUCCCUGAGCGACAACCAUCUCGCCAUCAGUCUUCACCGUUGCGAGAGAAGAGAAGCAAACCAUGAACUAGAAAGCACCUUCACAGACUCCUUUCAUGGACCACGAGAGUGCACAGCUACAGGCGUGCCAAUGACGUUGUGGAACAUCGGCAGGAAAAGACCCCCAUACUUCUCGAGCGCAAGAUCAACCUCCACUGGAAAUUGUAACUUGUAUUUUCGAGCAUGAACACACUCAAUCAACAUGGCAUGUUUAGAAAGAAGCAGACAAUCACAUGUUGCAUAUUACUUAGCACAAUCUAGAAACGACACUAGACAGGUGCCUAAAACAUCUUACCACACAUGCCUGACACUAAGUUCAUGAGAUGAGCAAAAGUGCACUAGGACUACCGCGACACUUCAAACCUCAACAUGAUAUGAUUUAUGACAGCAUCCAAGCAACAAGCUACACAACAAUACAUAAGAGUUCAUUUGAAUAGGACACUAGUAGACGAAACACAACAAAUCACAUCAGAGUUCAUAACUUCAUGUGAAUAGUACACUAGUAGACUAAACACAACAACUUCAUGGCACUAGAUCCGAGGGCCUCAAGUUUGAAUAACGAGGAUGAUCUGAUCAUAUAUAGAUCGAAAUCGAACCCUGCAUAAGCAACAAAGGAUACAUUGACCAGCACAUGAAAGUCUCAUACUAGAAGGAAUGCAGGGAAUGUUGUGAGAAAUUCUGUUGGUUGAUGUGGCUAUCAAAAUGCUUGAAUUCAAACGAACUCUUCGGUUUUAGUCUAACUAGCUAUCAGGGCAUAAUCUGAGAAAUUCUUGUAAUGGGACAAUAAUGGAACAUGAAACUGAGCAGAUGUUUUAACUUAAAUUUGGUAGGAAGCAUUUUGGGUAGCGCUUACAGAAACAACCAUAAAGGAGGGUGUCAAACUGUCCUAGUCCAGUAAAAAAUGCACACUUCAGAUUUGUGCCUUCGGUACUACCUAAAUUAGUCAAAACCACCUUACAUUACCUAAUCAAGCAUUCUGUUGAGGAAAUUAAUAGUUUCUGUUGCUGCGCUAAGCUCCCUACUCUUGUGCGAAGGUGAAGAAACUCGUUCACAAAUCUGCUGGACCCACUAAUGGCGGCAUAGUUGUUGGGGUCAUCGAUGUGCAGGGCGGGCACAUACUUCCAAAGUGUGCUCCAGCGCUUAGCAAGAACACACGUCCGUACAGAGUCACGAGAAGGCAGGAACAACAAAAGAUAGCAAAAGAUCAUUUGGGAGGGCCCUGCCCCCUAGCUAGAGUCGUUUCCAUCGUUUCCUCGCUAUUAAGCCUCUCCGACAUUAUGUCAAAAAGGUUGCCUACGCCGAAGCUGUAGAGUUGUUGGAUGUGGUGAGUCAGUGAGUGAGACCAGCCAAAUGGAGAAGAUACACAAUAAUCAUGAGCUCACCAGAUUAGCUCACCUACAGCCGCCGCUAGUCAUGCUCCUCCACCUCCUCCUCGACGGUGCUCAGUUCUCCAAGCAACGCGAGAGGGGACACUUCUCUCAUGCCUUCUCACCUUAACUUGGUGGGACAGGAAAACAGAGAAUGCCGAAGGAAGGGAUAAAGAGAAAGUGAUGGGUGUUUGAUGGAUGUUGGUUGUUCUUAUAGAAAACAACUUGUAUUUAAUAC
rnacentral:lncRNA from 1 species